CCUACGGGAGGCAGCAGUGAGGAAUAUUGGUCAAUGGCCGGGAGGCUGAACCAGCCAAGUCGCGUGAGGGAAGACGGCCCUACGGGUUGUAAACCUCUUUUGUCAGGGAGCAAGGUGCAGGUCGGGACCUGCUGUGAGAGUACCUGAAGAAAAAGCAUCGGCUAACUCCGUGCCAGCAGCCGCGGUAAUACGGAGGAUGCGAGCGUUAUCCGGAUUUAUUGGGUUUAAAGGGUGCGUAGGCGGAAUAUCAAGUCAGCGGUAAAAAUUCGGGGCUCAACCCCGUCGUGCCGUUGAAACUGUGUCCCUUGAGUGCGCGAAGGGUAGGCGGAAUGCGUGGUGUAGCGGUGAAAUGCAUAGAUAUCACGCAGAACUCCGAUCGCGAAGGCAGCCUACCGGCGCGCAACUGACGCUCAUGCACGAAAGCGUGGGGAGCAAACAGGAUUAGAUACCCCAGUAGUC
rnacentral:rRNA from 1 species